UUCUUAUUCAGAGCAGGUGGAGGGACGAGCCCUAUGAAACCCGGCAACCGGUCCAAUGACGGACACGGUGCUAAUUCUUGCAGCCAUUCGAUGCGGCUGGGAAAUAAGAA
rnacentral:ncRNA from 2 species